rnacentral:lncRNA from 1 species
UAUAUUGUACUCUGCCGUAUACCUUGGAUAUAAUUUAGAUAAGAUAAUUUAAAUAAGAUAAUUUAGUGUGUCUGUCUAUUUGAAAAGGCUCAUGUUCAAUCUCCCUACUUUUAAAGCUGAUUUUUUCCCAGUGAAUAUGAAACUUAAUGAAGAAUAGUCUUGUGAACUGCAUCUUUAGAGGAAUGACUGGUUAGGAGCAUCAAAACACUGAACACUUACAUGGGCUCUGGAGAAGAUCAAUGCAGCUGGAAUUGAAUACAAGAAAACAUGGUUGUUUCGGAGAGGGUUCCUUACAUCAAAAAGAAAAUAGUAUCUUCAAGCUGGCCAUAUUAAUAUUUACCUUAAGAAGAGGCCAGUUUUUAAAGAUCAUAAAAUCAACACUACAGGUAAGUAUUGACUUCUAUGACAGUUGCAAAAAUAUUCAUGAAUGUAGCAGGUUUUAUUUUUAUUUCUGG